AGAAAGCGUAAUAGCUCACUGGUCUAAUGACUCUGCGCCGAAAAUGUAACGGGGCUAAGCAUGGUACCGAAGCUUCGGAUGCCUCCAGAAGGAGGGAUGGUAGGGGAGCGUUCUCUACGGGCGGAAGCUGCAUUGUAAAGUGUAGUGGACUGUAGAGAAGUGAUUAUGCUGACAUGAGUAACGAUAAAACAGGUGAAAAACCUGUUCGCCGAAAACCCAAGGAUUCCUGGGUAAAGUUAAUCUUCCCAGGGUUAGUCGGACCCUAAGGCGAGGGCGAAAGCCGUAGCUGAUGGAAAACGGGUUAAUAUUCCCGUACUUCUUAUAGUGUGCGAUGGAGGGACGCAGAAAGAUAGGUGGGCCAACUGUUGGAUGUUGGUGCAAGCUGGUAGGAGUACCUCGCAGGCAAAUCCGCGAGGCGAAUCCGAGAAGCGAGUCCGUGACCGCAAGGUCUGAAGCCAUUGAGUCUCCGCUGCCAAGAAAAGCUCCUAAGUUUAGCUGUGAGAAUCCGUACUCGAAACCAACUCAGGUGGGUGGGAUGAAUAAUCCAAGGCGCUCGAGAGAACUCUGGCCAAGGAACUCGGCAAAAUGACCCCGUAACUUCGGAAGAAGGGGUGCUCCAUCGUGUGAAGAGUUUUACAUUUUGAGCACGAGGGAGCCGCAGUGAAUUGGUGGUGGCGACUGUUUACUAAAAACAUAGGUCUGUGCGAAGUCCUAAAGACGACGUAUACGGACUGACGCCUGCCCGGUGCUGGAAGGUUAAAAGGAGGAGUCAGCGCAAGCAAAGCUCCGAAUUGAAGCCCCAGUAAACGGCGGCCGUAACUAUAACGGUCCUAAGGUAGCGAAAUUCCUUGUCGGGUAAGUUCCGACCUGCACGAAUGGCGUAACGAUCUCCACACUGUCUCGGCCAGAGACUCGGUGAAAUUGCAGUCGCGGUGAAAAUUCCGUGUACCCGCAGAAAGACGGAAAGACCCUGUGCACCUUUACUAUAGCUUGACAUUGGAUUUUGGGCCUGCAUGUGUAGGAUAGGUGGGAGGCAGUGAACCCUGUACGCCAGUAUGGGGGGAGCCAUCCUUGAAAUACCACCCUUGCAUGUCUAAGAUCCUAACUUCUACCGGUUAUCCCGGAGAAAGACAGUGUCUGGCGGGUAGUUUGACUGGGGCGGUCGCCUCCUAAAGAGUAACGGAGGCAUGCAAAGGUUCCCUCAGCCUGAUCGGAAACCAGGCGCUGAGUGCAAACGCAUAAGGGAGCUUGACUGUAAGAGAGACAUCUCGAACAGGAACGAAAGUUGGCGUUAGUGAUCCGGUGGUCCCGAAUGGAAGGGCCAUCGCUCAUUGGAUAAAAGGUACGCCGGGGAUAACAGGCUGAUCGCAUCCAAGAGUUCACAUCGACGAUGCGGUUUGGCACCUCGAUGUCGGCUCAUCACAUCCUGGGGCUGAAGCAGGUCCCAAGGGUACGGCUGUUCGCCGUUUAAAGUGGUACGCGAGCUGGGUUUAAAACGUCGUGAGACAGUUUGGUCCCUAUCUUCUGUGGGCGAAGGAGAAUUGAGAGGGCCUGUCCCUAGUACGAGAGGACCGGGAUGGACGCACCCCUGGUGAUCCUGUUGUCGCGCCAGCGGCAUAGCAGGGUAGCUAUGUGCGGAAGGGAUAACCGCUGAAAGCAUCUAAGCGGGAAGCCUGCCUCAAGAUAAGUUCUCCCCUCGAAAGAGCUGAAGGGCCCAGGUAGACUACCUGGUCGAUAGGCCGGAGGUGCAAGCAUGGCGACAUGCUCAGCUGACCGGUACUAAUAGCCCGAGCGGCUUAUUU
rnacentral:rRNA from 1 species